rnacentral:rRNA from 1 species
GUCUGUCAAGUCGGAUGUGAAAUCCCCGGGCUCAACCUGGGAAACUGCAUUCGAAACUGGCAGGCUGGAGUCUGUAGAGGGGGGUAGAAUUCCAGGUGUAGCGGUGAAAUGCGUAGAGAUCUGGAGGAAUACCGGUGGCGAAGGCGGCCCCCUGGACAAAGACUGACGCUCAGGUGCGAAAGCGUGGGGAGCAAACAGGAUUAGAAACCCUGGUAGUCCACGCUGUAAACGAUGUCGACUUGGAGGUUGUUCCCUUGAGGAGUGGCUUCCGGAGCUAACGCGUUAAGUCGACCGCCUGGGGAGUACGGCCGCAAGGUUAAAACUCAAAUGAAUUGACGGGGGCCCGCACAAGCGGUGGAGCAUGUGGUUUAAUUCGAUGCAACGCGAAGAACCUUACCUACUCUUGACAUCCACGGAACUUAGCAGAGAUGCUUUGGUGCCUUCGGGAACCGUGAGACAGGUGCUGCAUGGCUGUCGUCAGCUCGUGUUGUGAAAUGUUGGGUUAAGUCCCGCAACGAGCGCAACCCUUAUCCUUUGUUGCCAGCGGUCCGGCCGGGAACUCAAAGGAGACUGCCAGUGAUAAACUGGAGGAAGGUGGGGAUGACGUCAAGUCAUCAUGGCCCUUACGAGUAGGGCUACACACGUGCUACAAUGGCAUAUACAAAGAGAAGCGACCUCGCGAGAGCAAGCGGACCUCAUAAAGUAUGUCGUAGUCCGGAUUGGAGUCUGCAACUCGACUCCAUGAAGUCGGAAUCGCUAGUAAUCGUGGAUCAGAAUGCCACGGUGAAUACGUUCCCGGGCCUUGUACACACCGCCCGUCACACCAUGGGAGUGGGUUGCAAAAGAAGUAGGUAGCUUAACCUUCGGGAGGGCGCUUACCACUUUGUGAUUCAUGACUGGGGUGAAGUCGUAACAAGGUAGCCGAAAUCCUC